AGUGGCGAUCCCGUGCGAGGCAAAUACCACGUUGUGAUUAGUCCAUCCAAUCCUCCCACGGAUCGAGCAUCCAAACCGUUCGCUCCUCUUGAUCCAAUGGCUGGCACACCCCUGCCCCUCUCUCUCGUCUUCUUCCACCUACCCAGCCGUCGACUUCUCUCCAGAUCUUUCCCCAGCGGCCGCCACAUCUCCAGAUCCUUCCCCAACCACCCUCCGAGCUGCUCACCCCUACUUUCUUUCCCCAAUCACUCCACCACAUCGUCUGAAGAUGGAGGAAGCACAGACCAAGGCAGCAACAGCUCAGCGACGAUCCAGACCUCCCCCUAUCCAUCUGGUGGUGCCGUGCAGAGCCACCGAGCGGGCCGCAUCAAGGCGUCUGGUGGAGUCGCGCCGCGGUGGCUGAGGAGCUGUGCCCAGUCGCUGUCGGUCCCAAGCCGCCAGGGGAUGCGCCGUGCCCCUUCUUCACCGAGGGGCCCGUUUCCGCCGCAUACGCCGUCCUCGACGUUGUCUUCUCCAUCGACCUCGACGGGCUGUGAGCCGCAUGCCCCACCAGGCAACGUCGAGCAUGUGUUGAGGCAAGAUACUGGCUGAUAUGGUUCUCGCUCCGAUGAGCAUGGAUCCGCUUACUCAGUAGCAUGGAUCUGGGCGAUAUGGUGGAGGAUAUGGCAUCUCCCUUCGAUGCCGUCGGAGAAGAUGGCUAGAUCUACGUCCAGAAGGGCAUGUGAAUGUGCAGCAUAAAAUCUUUCUGUACAAAAAUUGUUAGUAGCACAAAUUUGUUGUCUGGAAUGGUGUUGGAGCGUUCUCGUCGGUCAAGAUCGGCUACUCAAAAUAUUAUUUGUUGUCCGUCGAGUGCUGAGCAGGGUGGUGGCUGCAAAGUAGGAUAGUUUGUUCUCAGCUCGGAGAAUCUCCAAGACUUCGUUUGUUUGGAUUUCUAGCGUUUUGCUCCUCGUGUAUUGGCUGAAAAUAUAUGUAAUUUUAUUUUUUUGUGAUGUUUUUUUCUUUUAUGUAAAAUGUUAUUUUCUACUGUGUUUGUGUAAAAUUUUGGCUAUAAAAUUUGAUUUUUUGAGAAA